CUCUACCUCAGAUACCUGUCUCUUGCUCUCUCCUAAAGGGCAGCACUCUACUCUCUCCUCCAGCUAUGCUUCACUCCCACCUUAUUUGAUUGCUAUUUCCUGUCCUAAUGCGUUUUAUACCCCACCUCCUAUAGCCUGUAAGCUUGUUUGAACAGGGUCCUCUUCAACCUAUCGUUCCUGUAAGUUUUCUUGUAAUUGUCAUAUUUAUAGUUAAAUCCCUACUCUCAUAAUAUUGUAAAAAAAAAAUCCAAACU